UGCGCAGGCGGGCUUGCGCGUCAAGGGUUAAAUCCAUCGGCUCAACCGGUGAACCGCCCUUGAUACGGCAAGCCUUGAAUACGAGAGAGGAUAGUAGAAUUCCUGGUGUAGCGGUGAAAUGCGUAGAUAUCAGGAGGAAUACCAGUGGCGAAGGCGGCUAUCUGGCUCGUUAUUGACGCUCAGGCACGAAAGCGUGGGGAGCAAACAGGAUUAGAUACCCUGGUAGUCC
rnacentral:rRNA from 1 species